rnacentral:lncRNA from 1 species
UUGUUGCUCUCUUGACCAGAUUUAUGUCGGGGCAGUUGUCGUGCCCAAGAAAUUUGGGGGGAGGAUAAAAUCGAAAACCUGGAACCUGAAAUAAAUAAAUAAAAUGUGUAAAAAGUAAAAGCUGAAAAUAAAUAAUAAAAAGCAGUUAAAUAAAUCUGAAGAAAAAUUAAUUAAAAUAAGCUCAGCUUUAGGCACGGAUUUUUCCUCGUCUUUGAACCGAUCCUCGAAAUUAGAUGAACUCCUCUUUUCCAAUAAGCUAGUUAUAGCUACCAAGGACGCCUCGGACACCAACUCUUCCUUGUGUAAAUUAGUUAUGGAACGUCCAAUAACUAACCCUUACCAAUCGAACAACCACGAAACGUUUGUGAUUUAGAACUCCGACAGCCUUGCGUUCUAGAAGAGCCUAGCUCGAACCAAUGUCCUCAACCGCGUGGGACAUUUAAAUCCGGUUACUACUUCCCUUGACGGAACCAAACAGCUAUCUCCACUUGGCACGCCAAUGUGUUCACAGAAAACCGAUUAGGAACGUUCCUUUCGGAAUUCCAACUGUACAUCUAACUACACUAACUCAAACGACGUCUUUUUUGACUUAGUGUUGAUCGGACUUUAUGAGCUGACAAAAUCAUACUCUUAAUCCAGAGAAAUAAUAAGUACUAGAGUUUAGGAAUUAAUUUGCUCGGGUUCGUAACUCAUGGGUUUUGACGAGGCUAAUUCCGCCCUAAAGCUGAAAUGGAUACUUAAUAAAAAAAAACUUGGUAAUUAAAAACUUGAUUCAAGACUUGAUGAUAAAAAUGAACAAAGUAGUCUACUAUUUAUACUAGUGGCUUUGCUAAAUUAAGAGCCAACUAGUAUAGAAAAUCAAGGAAUAAAAUAUUAAAAAUCCCUACAUAAUCUCCCACUAAGUCAACAAAAAUUUCAGCUAAUUAAUCUUGGAAAAAUUUUGCUUUGGCCCUCCUUCUUUGCUCCUUUCUUCAAUCUAGCCCAAUUGUUUCCUUUUUCUUCUAUUUAGCCCCAAAUUGCACCCCUGCACAAAAUUCAACAAAAACAUGGAAAAAUUAGUGGUGCACUCUCAUAAAUUAACCAAUUUAAUUACAUAAAAUAUGUAACUUUAGCAUUUAAUCAUGCACCGCCCUUACCCACAUCAAAGACCUCAUUUUAGAGUGGUACAACGUUGAAACUAGAUUCAUCGAUGUUAUGUUGAAAACUUUAUUGUUCCGAACUAACCACAUGGUCCAACAUGAUACCGAAAUCGCAAUCAACCAUAAAAUUUUUUGAAACCCUUUCAAAACAAAAUUCCUCUCGUAAAGAUUUUUUUAUCUGAAAUCCCAUUAGGUGCAUAAACAUUAAUCAAGGUUCCAUCCAAAUCUUUUUCAAUCCAUUUUACUUCCCCAACAACAAAAUGUUAGAACAAAGAUAACAACCUGCUUGAAACCGAACCUUGUCCCAUAUUGUUAUUACCUCUCCAAAAUUUCCUACAACAGCCGAAAAUCAAAAUUCAAAAUAUCGUCACUCCCUACCUUCCUAAUUAUGUCCUCAAUACCCAUUACUAGCUUUGAUUCUUCAAUGAAACACAAAUCCACUCUACCUUUACAAAUUACUCUUUUCACACAAUUUUUUUGAUAUCCGAACACAUGCCCCUAAUGUCCCACAACCAAACCCCUAUUCCCCUCCCCCCCCCCAGAAAACCUCCCAUACACAGUAUAAAAUUACAACUACAAUCGAUACUAACCUGCACAAUGGCCUACAGACCCCUGCUCUUUCCUUUGUUGCUCUGAUCUACCUCUCUUCUAGUUUCAUAAUCUCAUCCACAACUUCUAACUUGUCACCUCAAACACAGAACCGAAGUUUUUUUCCACUUCCCAUGCGUUCCUAGCCUCCCUAAGAAUCACUCUCUUUCUAUUGUUGCUGUCAGAGUCGAAGAGAGAGGCGUUAACAACAACCUCCCCUUUGGAUGUGGUUCUUUUUCAUUUUUUCUUUCUCAACGUCCGAUCUCACUUCUUCUCUGCUACAGAAAUGAUUCUAUCUUGAAUUUCAUACAUCGAUCUAAUCUUUCGACCAGGGGUUUUUUGCUUCUUAUGUUUAAGAAAAAUUAGAGAUUCCCCCUCUGAAACCUUUUUUUCUCUGUUUGUUUCUCCCCUACCAAAACUCUAGAUCUUUUAAUAAGAAUACUACAAUCUGGUUCCCCCUGACUCUUUGGAGUUGCCUAUCUGUAAGCCCAAAUCUACCAUUAAGCCCACACCCUACUCAAUUUCUCUUUACUCAUCUUUUUGCUCCCUCUAUAGUUUCCAAUCCUAAUAUAGCUACUAAAAAGCCCAUGUUACUCACAUUUUCCAUGGCUCGAUUGCUAUACCCGCUUUUAUCCUUCUCUCCCAAACUAGGUUCAACCCUCUUUCCACUUAUCUGUUCCUCUUCCAACCUUAACAUAUUUUGUAAUGUAUUUUUACAUCCAUCGUUAUGGUUUGAUUUUUCGAGGAUAAACAUAUUAAUUGCUUCGUCUUCCCAACCUAGUCUCUCCUCUGAAGCCUUUUCUGAUCCAGGUCUCUUCACCGAUUCAGAUUAUGAUACGAUUUUGUCUUUCUUAUCUUGUGCUGAUUUCUCGUUUUCU